rnacentral:rRNA from 1 species
GACGAACCGUGCGAACGUUGUUCGGAUUCACUGGGCGUAAAGCGCACGUAGGCGGACUCUUAAGUCGGUGGUGAAAUCCUGGAGCUCAACUCCAGAACUGCCUUCGAUACUGAGAGUCUCGAGUCCGGGAGAGGUGAGUGGAACUGCGAGUGUAGAGGUGAAAUUCGUAGAUAUUCGCAAGAACACCAGUGGCGAAGGCGGCUCACUGGCCCGGUACUGACGCUGAGGUGCGAAAGCGUGG